GUUUUUCAGACGCUGGUGCUGACUCAUCCCCUGAAAACAGAACUGACCCCUGCAGUGAAUAGGGGCACUCAGAUGGAGGUUGUGACCUCUCAGCCUGCAAAAACAGACCUGACCCCUGUACUAAGGAUGGCAAUCGACAUACAGACAGUUGUUGUGUCUCUGGAGCUAUGGAGUCUCAUGUGCAGCUGUGUGUCACCUGCUGCUCUGAUCAUUAGCCCCAUCAUUAUGGAUCUACUACUAUUUGUAUUAUCUGAAGUGUUAUUAUACUGCCACUCUCGCUGCUCUCAUGUCAUUACUAUAUGACACGCUGAUGAGACGAUGUUAGUGGGCCUCAUCCAGAAUGAUGACGACUGGGCCUAUAGAGAGGAGGUGGAACAGCUGGAGUACUGAUGCAGGAGCAACAACCUGAUCCUAAACGUCAAAAAACAAAAGAAAUCAUUGUUGACUUAAGGAAGAACCAGCCUGGCCACUCACCACUGCUGAUCAACAACACGGCAGUAAAGGUAGUGGGAAGCACAAAGUUCCUGGGGGUCCACAUCACAGAUACCCUAAACUGGACUGUAAACACUGGGUCCCUGGCAAAGCGUGUGCAGCAGUGUUUGCACUUUCUCUGGAGGAUCACACUUUCCCCCUCCCAUCCUCAUCACUUUUUACAGAAGCACUGUAGAGAGCAUUAUGACCAACUGCAUCUAUGGCUGCAGACUGGAAGUGCCUACAGAGAGUGGUUAGGACAGCGGAGAAGAUCACUGGGACUUCUCUUCCCCCCAUCGCGGAGAUUAGACAGAAACACUGUCUGUCAUGGGCUAUCAACAUCACCAGAGACUGCACACACCCCCACCAUAGACUGUGCUCUGUGAUGGCCUCUGGCAGGAGGUAUCCGAGCCUUAAAAGCAGAACAGCCAGGUUCUGCAACAGCUUUAUCCCACAGGCCAUAAGACUGCUAAAGUCCCUAUAGACAGUCUCUUAAAUACUUACACACUUACACACCAUACUGUCUGUUCUAGUACUGCAGGCAUAAUACACCAAGAAGGAUCAUAAAGUAGGACAGUCUUCUAUUAUAUAAAUUAGAAGACAUCCAAGUCAUCAGACUAACAUAUAACUUAUAGCCCAGGUCCUACAUUUAAAGUCCCUUUACUGUAAAAAUAUGUAGUACUCUACAUUAACACAGAGUUGGUGGUUGGUGGGGUGCUUUGGCUCUGAAAUAACCAACACUUCUUUCCAAUUCACAACAGUUUUCCUGUAUAGAAUUUCAAGACAUCCAAGUCAUCAGGGUCACACAGUAUACUACCAGGUCCUACAUGGAGGUCUCUUUAAUGUCAGAAUUUGCAUUGCACAAUCUUAUUCCACACCUGUACAAGUUCUACAAAACACAAAAGAGCACAAAAGAGUCAGCUCGGUUCUAAUGACAACUUAUUCAGUGACUCUUAGGUGCUGGACCAAUAAUCAUAUUAAAGUGGCUGAGAUUUUACUUUCUCCUCUCCUUUCACUGGAGACAGCAGUUUUUCAUUCUGAGCUUAGUGAGCGAGCAGAUGCCGAGACAGGAGGACUUUCAGAUGCGGGACUCACUGUGAGUCCACAGAAGGGACAAAGAUCCCCCCUCGGCAGCUGACCGUUUCCAUACAUCCCGACUGUUAAUGAACAUUACAAUUUGACUAAUAAUCGUAUUAAAGUGGCUGAGAUUUGACUUUCUCCUCUCCUUUCACUGCACUGUAAAUUCUAACAAGUUGAGUUUACUUAAAAAAAAAUAGCCUUGGCAAAAGUAAGUAAACAAACUUAAUUGUGUGAAGUACUGUGAAAUUAUUACAAUUAAGUAAGCUGUACUUUUUUUGAAGUUGUGAGCACUUAAUGUAUCUCAGUAUAGUUAAAUUUAAAUCAAGUUGUUAAAACUCAAAUACUUUGAGUCAAAUUAACUUAAUAUUUUCUGCCAAAACAAGUGGGCAUUACUUGAAAUUUGUAAUAUGCUACACUUUGGGUAUCUUAGUGUAAUCCACUUCAAUAAGAUUGACAAGAACUCAAUAAAGAUAAGUCACAUGAAAUUAAUAUAAUGUGUCAAAGUAAGUGAGUAGCACUUAAUUUUAGAUAAAUUCACUUAACAUACCUUAGUUUAUCUAACUUAAAAAAUAAGACUCACAAAAUGGCAUUAUGAACACCAAAAUUUAUUUUGUCUGCAUUUGUAAACAACAGAAUGAGUGAGACUUAAGAGUGACAAUGAAUGUGUGUGAGGUGUGCUGAUUGGUCUGGGUGUAAGCUAACAGAAGGCUCUCGAUUCACACUCGACACUUUCCUAAAUGUCUCACAGCAACAAACAGACCUGGCAACAUUUAGUCUGUAAAAGUUUAAAACCUGAAUAAAACCUCGACUGAACUUGUACAUAUAUCUUUCAAGCAGCAGCAAAUCAGCGCUUAGCAAUUUAACAACUCUGACAUAUAUUCAACCUGUGUUGCAGAUGUACGCUACAUUUUAAUAUCAUUUUAACAUACUUAACAUAACAUACUUUAUGUUCAUUUUCAACAGUUUUUACUCACUGGACAUUACUUAACACCUGCACUGAUGGCGGGAUCAUGUGACCUACAUAAGGAUGUCUUCUGCUGCAUUUGCUUUCUAAUCGCAAAUGUGAAAAACAGUGAACAAAUACAAAAAGCAUACAUCUCAGUACAUACUUUUACUUUUGGUCUUUAACUUUUUUCUUUUUGUUUUUACUGUUGGUCCCUCAAGUACAGGCGGUACUCCCUUUCUGGAAUUAUGAGGGAGCAGUAACUGUGCACUCAUAAUACUGAACCAAAUGGGUAUGAAACAAAAUAAGACAGAUCCCAAAAACAAACAAAAACCCCCACUGCUAUUCUUGACAGUCACUGAAAGGAUUCCUAUUUUUUGUGAGAGGGGUCAUUCUCACUGUGUUCUGUACUUCUGUACCUAUUUUCUUAAUUAUUGAGAAUACAAUAUGGAGACCUCUGCAGCUCCACAAGUAAAAGUAUAAUUUUUGGUUUAAUUGUUAAGGCAAUCAUCAUCAUGCUCACUCUCAUUCACAAACCACAAAACAGCCAACCAGUAUGGCUAUCACCAGCCGCAACAUCUAGCCUGAAAAAGCAUUUUUUUAAUGUUUGCAGUUUUGGGCUGAACUUUUGUUGUCAAAGGUUCAACAAUAUCUUCUGGAUGAACUCAAAUGUGUUCUUCAUACCUUUGGGGUAAUCCAGAUGGAGUGCGUAUAUUAAGCCAAACAGAAGACAAAGUGCUUGAGAGGUUGUGGGAAUCUCAUCCAUGACGAUGUUUCCUUCAAGGAUGAUGGCAAUGCUGUUAAUCGAUGGUGGUGUGUCCUCAGUCAUGAUCUUCUCAUCUUUGUAUGGAAAUUCCCCAUCUUGAACUUAAUGCUAUUCUUCCAACUGCAAUAUCCAGUGGGUGAUCCAGCUUCUUUCAAACAAGGAUGUUUUGCAAUCAGUGCAGAGGCCACUUCUCGACAGUGUUCCUCUGUGGGCUAUGCCGUGUGCUUGUACAUUGUCUCUGCAAGUCUCUCUAAGAUCACAUGUUUCAUGUCCCGGGUAACAUCCAUCCAAGUUCCAGCUCUCAUUUAGGCAAGGUCUCCCUGUCUCAGUAGGAAAUUUACAUCCACAGAGAAUUCUGGAAUAUCAAAUUCAGAAGGCCAAGGAUCUGGCCUCAUCAGCUGAGAUUUUUCUUUACUUGUAUACAGUAUAUCUGUAUCAGAUGUGCUUGGUGGGGACAGUGCUAGAAACCAAAGAGAAGGACUCAAGAUUUAUAAUUUUCAGUUUCUGUGUCAGUUCUGACACAUCUGUCAGGUUGCAGAGGGCAUUGUUAUACAGUGGGUUUUCAAACUGUAGAUUAAAGUCAUAUGGUAGUGCCAGUUUAACUUUCAAGUGAUCCAACAAAGCCUCAAGGUCACUUGGUUUUUGAUCAAGACUGACUCUUCUAAUGUCACAAUCAGUGACGAUGACUGAUUGGCCACUUCUGUUACAUCAUUCUGCAAAGAAGAGAGGCAUAAAGUCAGUGCAGCUAGCAUAAUAUGUAAUGUUUCAAAGAAACAAACAAUGUACCUCUGACUCGGUACACUGGAGAAAAACCAUCACUGAACUCAGUCAGUUGAGUUGCAACCAAGCCUGUGCUGCUUUGUGUCAAUUCAUAAGCACGAAGGUGCUCAUGAUACCAUGCUAUCAUUGGUUUGCACAAGAAAACAGUGUCUGCAUUAAGCACUAGCACUUGCUUAAUCUGUCUCUGGAAGGCCUCCACAUGAACCUACAGAAACCACCAUAUCUGAAGCGUGGUUCAUUCCAUCAAUAUUGACAGACAGAGCUGACAGGACUGUGUUUUGGAGACCACAAUUUGGUGCAACAUGUCUUGAAUGUUCCCUGGGAGGGGGUUAAGAAAUCAUUAUGCUCUUUACUCUGUUUGCUUUGAGUGCUGGUUUAAAAAAGGAAGCACAGUCCAAAUGGUAUGCCAUCAUCUUUUGAUGUUGCCUCGCCAAAGUUAGGGGAACAUUUUUGAAGUUCUGAGUUUCAUGGAUGACUUUUUUGAAGAACUUGUGUUUCCCUUCAAAUCUCAUCAUCCACAUGUCUAUGAAAGGUCCAAAGACUUUUGUCAAGUAGGGAUAGUGCUCAAUAAAGUGAUGCUUUGGACGGAGUCUGCAAUCUGGAAAAACUUUCAGUAGUAACUCUCUGUGAUCUGACACUUUAGACUCUAAAUAGAACAAAGACUCAUUUGUGAAUCUCAGAGAUACAACCAAUUCAAGGACAUGAGCACCUCCCAUGUUUCAUCUCCCUCAGGUACAUGAUGCCCAGUCAUUAAAGGAAGCAAUCUGAUUAACACCAGUUUUCAUGACCAUUCCCUCCUGUUGUCUUCUUUGAGUGAGAUAAUGACAGAGGAGGUGGAGAAGAGAGGAGAGGAGGUGGAGGACAUUACGAAGAAUGAACACUCACAUAUAAAAGCCAAGAAAACUCUGACCUGCCACUUCACAAACUACAAGUGAAACAUGUUUCUACAAAGAUUUUUCUCAUGUUCAAACUGUUCAAAAACAAGUGUUUGAAAUACAAAGUGACAACAAAAAGUGUGUUUUGUGAUUACAUUUAUAAAGACUUGUGAUUUGAUUGAGAUUAUUGUAAUACUGAUUAUAGUGAUUAAUGAUAUUGAUUUAGAUUACUGUCAACAGUUUUUAUUGGAACUACUUUCUUCUGAAGAAAUAGUAAUUUACCUGAGGUCAUUUUACAGCCAGUUGUGUACAACAACGCAGUGUUAUUGAGGUUUACAUAAGUAAAUGAUUUGAGUAUUUCAUCCACAUAUUCACAAUUUAUUUACAUUAAUUACAUGACCACAAAGAAGUGAUUUAAGUGUAUUACAAAGGUUAAAUGAAGG